GUGCACAGUCGAUAAUUCACGUGCACGCAUGGUCCACGCUCGCGUGAAUCAUGAUUAAGUGUGUUGCUAGGCUAACAGGUCGUAUGACUUGCGCUUUCUCUGCGAGCAGUUAUCGCAGUGGGCGAGCCGCAGUGGUUAUAGAAAAGAGAGCCCCAAUACUGGAAAUGGUGGUUGCUACACGCCAUGUUCUUUGCAGAAAUCGACUUUCUCGAGAAACUGUUUGCUCCAGAAAAGAUUUUUACGUGAUGUAGUGAUCAUCAUACAAAACGGCAAAGAUGGCAAAACAUUAGACGAUGAAACGAGCUCCAGAGACAGAAAGGAGUGUCAUGACAUAACUCCUCUUGAUGCAAUUUCAAGUCUGUUAACUAGAGCCUACAUCAUAUGAUUCGUUCUGCAAAAGGGAGGUAGGCAUCAACAGGUACAGCUUUGAAUUGCUUCUGUUCAUGAACUAAUAUUGUACACUUGCAUAGAGAACCAUUAAUCUUCUGAACAGACGAGACUGUGCUGCAUUUGACUUCCCAAAUGUCAAUACAGAAAGAGGAAUGAUCGUCAACGUUCCUGUAACGACCCAGUUCAGUUUUCCACACACAAGCACGAUGAUGCCUAGCGAGUCAGCUUGUAGAAACCUAUCUAGCCAACUUCGGGAAGUACUGAGUUAUCACCAGACAAAUCAAGACAACACCUACGCUGCAGGCUUCCUUUCUGGAAUUUCUGGAUUUAUGAGUUUGAAGCAAUGCGUGAAGCCAAAGAAAUUGCAUUUCAGGUACUAACUAUUAGUCAUAGAAGCUGGGAUAGUGUUAUACCAGUUUCAUUUAUUGUUUACCAAGUUUUAAAAGUACAUAUAGUCUGCUACUCUUAGAACAUUGCAUCGGUUUCUGUACGGUUGAGGAAAUGAAUGGUGUAGGAAGGGUACUGUAGAUACAUGUAGGUACAUUUGUGUGUCAAAACCUGAUACUGUUAGAGUCUAUGUCAUCAUCUACAUGAUAGC